GACGAACCGUGCAAACGUUAUUCGGAAUCACUGGGCUUAAAGGGCGUGUAGGCGGCCUGUUAAGUCUGAUGUGAAAUCCCCUCGCUCAACGAGGGAACUGCGUCGGAAACUGGCAGGCUCGAGUACCGGAGAGGAAGGUGGAAUUCCCGGUGUAGCGGUGAAAUGCGUAGAGAUCUGGAGGAACACCGAUGGCGAAGGCAGCCCCCCUGGGCUAACACUGACGCUCAUGCACGAAAGCGUGGGGAGCAAACAGG
rnacentral:rRNA from 1 species